GAUUUCUGGUUUGGUAUGCCUGACCCGUCAUGGUUACAUGAUUGUGUGUCGGUGCGUGCCUGCCAUCCUUCUAGAGAACAUGAGACCACCCUUCAUUGGGUUGGAUUCAUGUCGCUCUAGAUCUUUUACUUUGAAAAAAUUAGAGUGUUUAAAGCAGGCUUUUGCUAUGAAUACAUUAGCAUGGAAUAAUAAUCUAGGACUUCGGUUCUAUUUUGUUGGUUUCUAUAACUGAAGUAAUGAUUGAUAGGGAUAGUUGGGGGUGCUAGUAUUGGCCGGCCAGAGGUGAAAUUCUUGGAUUCGGUCAAGACUAACUUAUGCGAAAGCAUU
rnacentral:rRNA from 1 species